rnacentral:rRNA from 1 species
GACGAACGCUGGCGGCGGGCUUAACACAUGCAAGUCGAACGGAAAGGCCCUGCUUUUGUGGGGUGCUCGAGUGGCGAACGGGUGAGUAACACGUGAGUAACCUGCCCUUGACUUUGGGAUAACUUCAGGAAACUGGGGCUAAUACCGGAUAGGAGCUCCUGCUGCAUGGUGGGGGUUGGAAAGUUUCGGCGGUUGGGGAUGGACUCGCGGCUUAUUAGCUUGUUGGUGGGGUAGUGGCUUACCAAGGCUUUGACGGGUAGCCGGCCUGAGAGGGUGACCGGCCACAUUGGGACUGAGAUACGGCCCAGACUCCUACGGGAGGCAGCAGUGGGGAAUAUUGCACAAUGGGCGGAAGCCUGAUGCAGCAACGCCGCGUGCGGGAUGACGGCCUUCGGGUUGUAAACCGCUUUCGCCUGUGACGAAGCGUGAGUGACGGUAAUGGGUAAAGAAGCACCGGCUAACUACGUG